rnacentral:lncRNA from 1 species
GCUAUUUCUUGGGCCGCUCCCGCAGCAUAUGGAGGUUCUCAGGCUAGGGGUCUAAUCAGAGCUGUAGCUGCUGGCCUACGCCAAAGCUGCAGCAACUCAGGAUCCUUAACCCACUGAGCAAGGCCAGGGAUCGAACCCACAACCUCAUGGUUCCUAGUCGGAUUCGUUAACCACUGAGCCACGACGGGAACUCCUCUCCCUCAUUUUUGAAGGGUAGUUUUGCCAGAUAUAAAAUUCUGUCAACAGUUUUUUUUUUUAUUUUUUGCCCCCAGCACUUCGAAUGAUAUCUACCCGCUUCCUUCAACCUCCCAGAUUUAAGAUGAGAGGUCUGAUAAUCUUAUUAAGGACCCCUUUUAUGUGAUGACUUAUUCUCUCUGGUUAUUUUCAAGAUUCUUUUCUUUGGCUUUCUUCAGUUAAAUUAUUAUCCUUUCUUCCCUUUCUCUCUCUUUUCUCUUUGGAUGCUUACGGUGGUAUGUUGUUUCUCUUGAUAAUGCCCUACAGCAGAUCCUUUAGGCUCUAUUCAUCGUUCACAUUUCUUCAUUUUUUUUUUUUUUUUUUCCUGUUCCUCAGAUGGAGUAGGAAGACCAUGGAAUCCAUCUUUCAACCUGGACAACAAUUAUACUGGCAGAAACAGUCUGAGGGGACUGUUUUGGAACUCUGAAGUCUAUUUGAAUGCUUGCAUCUUCCAGGGGAAAUUUCAUUGGUAAAAUGAGGCUAAUUUCAGUCAAUGUCAGUUCUUUAGUGUGAUAGCACCUACUCAUUCUUACCCCUCAACCCUAUGGUAGGCAGUCAUGUUCAUGUUCCUCGUAUGGCUUGAUGGAGUCAGGGUGGGAAAUAAAAAACUUGUUCUCCAAAUAUUAGAGUUUUGUGAUUUUUUUUUUUAAUUUAAGCAUAGUUGAUUUUCAAUGUUUUGCUACUUUCAGGUGUAUAGAAAAGUGGUUCAGUGUUAGAUGUGUGUGUAUGUGUGUGUGUGUAUUCUUUUUCAGAUUCUUUUCUAUUAUAGGUUAUUACAAGAUACUGAGCAUGGUUCCCUGUGCUACAGAGUAGGUCCUCAGUGCUUAUCUAUUUUAUAUAUAGUAAUGUAUCUGUUAAUCCCAGACUCUUAAUUUAUCCCUCCCUCUCUUUCCCCUUUGGUAACCAUAAGUUUGUCUUCUAUGUCUCAGUCUAUUUUUUUGUUUUGUUUUUUAGGGCUGCACCCGAGGCAUAUGGAGGUUCUCAGGCUAGGGGUCUAAUCCGAGCUACAGCUGCUGGCCUAUGCCACAGACACAGCAACACCAGAUCCGAGCGGCGUCUGAGACCUACACCACAGCUCAUGGCAAUGCUGGAUCCUUAACCCACUGAUCGAGGCCAGGGGUCGAACCCACAUCCUCAUGGUUCUAGUUGGAUUCAUUUCCCCUGUGCCGUGUCAGGAACUCCAGUCUGUUUAUUUUAUAAGUUAUUUUGUAUCAUCUUUUAAGAUUCCACACAUAUGUGAUACCAUAUACUUGUCUUUCUCUGACUUACUUCACUUCAUAUGGUAAUCUCUUGGUCCAUCCAUGUUGCUGCCAAUGGCAUUAUUUCAUUAUUUCCUAUGGCUGAGUAGUAUUUACUGCAUAUAUGUACUACAUUUUUUUUCCAUUUUUUUUAAUUACUCAAAUGAAUGUAUCACAUCUGUAGUUGUAUAAUGACCAUAACAAUCUGAUUUCACAGGAUUUCCAUCCCACAGCCCAGGCACAUCCCCCCACCCCCCAAACUGUCUCCUCCGGAGACCAUAAGGUUUUCAAUGUCUGUGAGUCAGCAUCUGUUCUGCAAAGAAGUUCUGUCUGUCCUUUUUUCAGAUUCCACAUGUCAGUGAAAGCAUUUGAUGUUGGUGUCUCAUUGUAUGGCUGACUUCACUUAGCAUGAUAGUUUCUAGGUUGCAAAAAAUGCUGGUAUUUCAUUCCUUUUAAUGGCUGAGUAAUAUUCCAUCGUGUAUAUGUGCUACAUCUUCUGGAUCCACUCCUCUGUUGAUGGACAUUUAGGUUGUUUCCAUGUCUUGGCUAUUGUAAAUAGUGCUGCAAUGAACAUUGGAGUACAUGUGUCUUGGGGAGUCAUGGUUUUUUCUGGAUAGAUGCCCAGGAGUGGGAUUGCUGGAUGAAAUUGUAGUUCUAUGUUUAGUUUUCUGAGGAAUCUCCAUACUGCUUUCCACAGUGGUUGCACCAAUUUACAAUCCCACCAACAGUUGUACUACAUCUUCUUUAUCCAUUCCUCUGUCAUGGACACUUAGGUUGCUUCCAUGUCUUGGCUAUUGUGAAUAGUGCUGCAAUGAACAUUGAGCCUCAUGUAUCUUUUUGAAUUAGAAUUUUCAUCUUUUCCGAAUAUAUGCUCAGAAGUGCGAUUGCUGGAUCACAUGGUGACUCUAUCUUUAGCUUUUUAAGGAACCUCCAUACUAUUUUCCAUUGUGGCAGCACCAACUUACAUUCCACCAGCAAUGUAGGAGGUUUCCCUUUUAGAGUUCUGUGUUCUGAUUGUUGAAUGAUUUUGACUUGAGGUACAGGCACAGAGGCUGGCUGCCAUUGUUUCAGCCCCCAACAACUGAACUGGUUUCCAGGGGAUUUAAAAGAAUAACACCUGUUUUGUUUGUUUAGGUUUCCCCCUUUACUCCAUUUGGGAGUCAGAUGUUUAAGGAUUAGGACAUUCAAAACCAAGCAUUUAGAGAAAUUAGAAAGCCACCAUGUAUCACCGGAAAAAGAUGCAGGCUCAGAAGAGAUCUGGGAAGACCUCAAGGUUUCACCUCAGGUUGAUACUGAGUCCCAACACAGAGACACCCUUCAACAAUCAAAAAAAUAGCAACCCCUUUCCACUUUGGUAACCUUAUAAGUUUGCUUUCUAUGUCUUGUGAGUCUGCUUCUGUUUUGUAAAUAAGUUCAUUUGUGUCAUAUUUUCUAUUCCACAUAUAAGUGAUAUCAUAUGGUAUUUAGACAAAGUUUAAAAUAACUGUCUUUAAGUUGUUCAUUGAGCUAAAGCAAAACAGAUUAAGUCUGGGAAAUAAUGUAUUAAAAAUGAGAAUAUCAUUAAAGAAAUAGUAAUUAUAAAAAGAAACUAAAAGAAAAUUCUAAAGUUGAAAAGUAGAUAAAAAUUCACUUAGAGGGGUUCAAAAUCAGACUUUAUCAGGGUGAAGAGUCAACAAACUUGAAGAUAUUUCUUUCAAAACCUGUUCCUUCCCCCCCCCCCUUCUGCCCUAGUUCAAGCCUUUCUGAUCUUAGGCAGCCUCCAAAGUGUUCUAUUUGCUCCUUGUUUUGCCUUCUCUACUCCUACCAGAAUGAACUUUUUUAAAAACCCAAAUCUGAUAUUGACACUCUUCUUAGAACCUGUGUCUAUGGGCUGAACUUCAUUUUACUUAUUUUAAUAUUCAGGAACCUUCCCAGUCUGGCUCCAGCUUACCACAUCAAUCUAUGGAAUUUGAGAUAUAAAUUCCAGUUUCUAGGAAAUAUAAAGCCUAAAGGAACAAUCUCAAUAACUUCUUGAGGGAGCAACCAUUCAGAUUCAAAGGGGGAAAUUUUCACCUUAGCUGGACUGAUUUCUUCAAUAAGCCAGUAUCUUUAAAUUUUUUUUAAGUCAUAUAUUGAAAAAAUACUUAAGAUGAGUUUCUGUGUGACACAGUGGAAACAAAUCCAACUGGUAUCCAUGAGGAUGCAGAUUCUUUCCGCUGAGCCGCCACGGGAAUUCCAACCUUGUUCAUUUCUGUUCUUUUUUUAUGUCUCAUAUCUCAAGCAGCUGUCGUAGCCAGUAGCCCUCCCGAGUUGAAAGUCACAAGUUUUGUUACUUAAGCUGGACUCUAAAAAUGACAAAAAUCGUCAUUCGUAAUGUUUGUGAUAAACCCAAGCGAUCUAUAAAAGGACCCAUCACAAUCCUUGGCACGUUUUUGCGCGGUCAAUAAAGGCCAGGUGAAUUAAGUAUCAUUAAGGGCCACUUUGAAACAGCACUUAAACGUUAAAGGUGAGUAGGAUAUUCCUUGCCCCAGCACCAGUCGUUUGGGGGUUGUACACCCUCUCAGACGCAACAGACGCUACCCAGCCUGUUCCCCUUGCCAGUCCUGCUUCCAAUCGGUGAUGUAGAAAGAACCCCCGCCGGUCCAAGCGCAAGAACAUGGCAGAGUCCACCUCCCACCUGAGUCCAGCUCGUAGAGUGCAAACUCCGCGCAGGCGC